rnacentral:rRNA from 1 species
UACGUAGGGUGCGAGCGUUAAUCGGAAUUACUGGGCGUAAAGCGUGCGCAGGCGGUUUUGUAAGCCAGAUGUGAAAUCCCCGGGCUUAACCUGGGAAUGGCAUUUGGGACUGCAAGGCUCGAGUGCGGCAGAGGAGACUGGAAUUCCUGGUGUAGCAGUGAAAUGCGUAGAUAUCAGGAGGAACACCGAUGGCGAAGGCAGGUCUCUGGGCUGACACUGACGCUCAGGUGCGAAAGCUAGGGGAGCGAACAGG